GAUGAACGCUGGCGGCGUGCCUAAUACAUGCAAGUCGAGCGAACAGACGAGGAGCUUGCUCCUCUGACGUUAGUGGCGGACGGGUGAGUAACACGUGGAUAACCUACCUAUAAGACUGGGAUAACUUCGGGAAACCGGAGCUAAUACCGGAUAAUAUAUUGAACCGCAUGGUUCAAUAGUGAAAGACGGUUUUGCUGUCACUUAUAGAUGGAUCCGCGCCGCAUUAGCUAGUUGGUAAGGUAACGGCUUACCAAGGCGACGAUGCGUAGCCGACCUGAGAGGGUGAUCGGCCACACUGGAACUGAGACACGGUCCAGACUCCUACGGGAGGCAGCAGUAGGGAAUCUUCCGCAAUGGGCGAAAGCCUGGCGGAGCAACGCCGCGUGAGUGAUGAAGGUCUUCGGAUCGUAAAACUCUGUUAUUAGGGAAGAACAAAUGUGUAAGUAACUAUGCACGUCUUGACGGUACCUAAUCAGAAAGCCACGGCUAACUACGUG
rnacentral:rRNA from 1 species